UUCCCCUCACCCCCCUGCCCUAGCCGCCUCUCGGCUUCUUCGGCCUUACCUGUGUCGCUUGCGUGCUCCUGAAACCGCUGUCACCGGCCCUGCCCUCCUCCGCGGCGUGCGGAGUAUUUAAACGGCUCUGUCUGGGUCACGCCAGAGCUGGGAAACGUUAAGUGGUCGGGGAAGGACGUAGCAAAUGGUGCCGUCUUUCUGGGUGUCAGUUUUGAAGGGAGGACGGUUCCGCUGCUCCGUCUGUCCGGGGUAGUUCCUUUACUUGCUUUUGUUAGAACCGUAUUUUCAUCGGGUCAUGCAAGCGAGGUGUGUUUGUUAGGGAUGGGGCAAAAUAGGCCAGUUUGCUCUUGCUUCUGCAAAGGUAGCCGAAACCAUCCAGAAACGGGCUGUACGGAGAGGCUUAAUGCAGUUUAGGUCGUGAGGAAUUCCUGCUCCCUCCGGGUCUCGAGCCUCUGCAAACACACGUCUUAUUUUGGCAUCAAAGUCAAGUGGAGAUUAAACCAGAAAGGAAGGAGAAGUGGUGAAGGUCACUGUCUAUGGGAAGUCACAUUUUAGAUGCUGUAUAAAACUUGGAUUUUUCAGACAGUACUGAGUGUGGUCUUAGGUACAUUUUAAUUAUCAGUUAAGAUGGAUAUCCGAGGUGCUGUAGAUGCUGCUGUCCCAACAAACAUCAUUGCUGCCAAAGCUGCUGAAGUUCGGGCAAACAAAGUAAACUGGCAGUCAUACCUCCAAGGGCAGAUGAUUUCAGGUGAAGACUGUGAAUUUAUUCAAAGAUUUGAACAGAAAAGAAAUCUGGAAGAAAAACAGGAGUUGCUGCAAACAGAAGGCAAUCAAUGUGCUAAAACAUUUAUAAACUUGAUGACUCAUAUCUCCAAGGAACAGACGGUUCAGUACAUUCUGACAAUGGUUGAUGAUAUGCUGCAAGAAAAUCAUCAGCGUGUUUGUAUCUUCUUUGAUUAUGCAAAACGUGGUAAAAACACUGCAUGGUCCUAUUUUCUGCCCAUGUUGAAUAGACAAGAUCUUUUCACAGUGCAUAUGGCAGCAAGAAUUAUUGCCAAACUGGCUGCAUGGGGGAGGGAACUUAUGGAAGGCAGUGACCUGAAUUACUAUUUCAACUGGAUUAAAACUCAGCUCAGUUCACAGAAACUACGUGGUGCAGGGGGUUCUGUGGAAACAGGAGCAGUCUCCACAAGUGAUAGUUCCCAGUAUGUACAAUGUGUUGCUGGAUGUCUGCAGCUGAUGCUCAGAGUCAAUGAAUAUCGCUUUGCAUGGGUAGAAGCAGAUGGAGUUAAUUGUAUCAUGGGGGUCUUGAGCAACAAAUGCGGCUUCCAGCUCCAGUAUCAGAUGAUUUUCUGUGUGUGGCUGCUGGCAUUUAGCCCUCAGAUGUGUGAAUAUCUCCGUCGGUAUAAUAUUGUUCCAGUGCUGUCAGAUAUUCUUCAGGAAUCUGUCAAAGAGAAAGUAACUAGAAUCAUCCUUGCAGCGUUUCGGAAUUUGUUAGAGAAAUCUACUGAGAGAGAAACUCGCCAAGAAUAUGCUCUUGCUAUGAUUCAGUGUAAAGUUUUAAAGCAACUAGAGAACUUGGAUCAGCAGAAAUAUGAUGAUGAAGACAUAAGUGAAGAUAUCAAAUUUCUACUGGACAAGCUUGGUGAGAGCGUGCAGGACCUUAGCUCCUUUGAUGAGUACAGUUCUGAGCUCAAGUCAGGAAGACUGGAGUGGAGUCCUGUACACAAGUCUGAGAAGUUUUGGCGGGAGAAUGCUGUAAGACUAAAUGAGAAGAAUUAUGAACUACUCAAAAUCCUGACAAAACUUCUGGAGGUUUCUGAUGACCCACAAGUGCUGGCUGUAGCUGCUCAUGAUGUGGGAGAAUAUGUGCGACACUAUCCACGUGGGAAACGAGUGAUUGAACAACUUGGUGGUAAACAGCUGGUAAUGAACCACAUGCAUCAUGAAGACCAACAAGUUCGUUAUAAUGCACUACUGGCUGUGCAGAAGCUGAUGGUUCACAACUGGUGGGGACUGUGCUUUGUAUUGUGCACAUGCUUUCUGGGAUUUCACACUGCAAUCGUGUUUUCUGUCAUGAGAUCUGCACUGUCUGUAAAACGAACUUUAAUAUUUCUAGAGCUUCUGUUAACGUGGAACAAAUAUUCGGUAAAUAUAGAACAUCCUGCUCAGUUUGCAUUUUCUUUUUUCCAAUUGUUCAUUUUUCAUGUGCUAUGCUGAAAAAGCAUGUCAUCAAAGUAGUAACUUUUUUUAUAGUUUCAAUUCUGAUUAGUGUUACUUUAAAGAUUAGAUUUCCUGAUAGGAAAAUUCAGUUAAGUAUGGUCUACGUCAGUCAUUCUGAAAUAUUCCAUGCAAACUUAAAGCUCUUGUGUUGAAAGCAUUUUGCUUGCUGUUCAUUGUGACAACUAAAUAUUCUGAUUAAAUACUUCAUGCAUUCAUAGCGCAUCUUAUAAGUGAAAAAUAACUUAUACCUUGUCUCCCUAAUAGAAGGGCAUAUAUUGAAUGGAAUUUCAUAGGUUUUUCUUUCAAAAUCUAAUAAAAUAUUUGAGUAAUAGCCUUGUAAUAGGAGCUCAUUGAUCUGCUGUUUCUUUAUAGCUUGUAUGUAAAGUUGUGAACUGGAAGUCUAGAAUUACUCUUCCAAAGAACGGACAAAACCUCUCUGAAGGUUUAAAGUCUCAAACUGCUGAGUGAAAAGGAGGUUCUUGCAGCAUCUCAGUCUGAAGACACACAUUAAUUUUGCAUUUCACAUCAUAAGGAGGACUGUAAACCAUGCUAUGAGCAAUGUUUUCAGUGAUCAGGAGAUAAUCUGUAGAUUGUCUAUUAAUAUUAUUGCAUUCAGUGGAAGACAGGAUCCAUUUUAAAAAAAACCCAACCCAACUUUCAUGUAAUGUUUAUAAUCCCUCUGCUCAAUCAUUCAGGCUGUUUAGUUCUAGUGUGCACAUCAGAAUGUCGAACAUCUCUUUACUGUGAAUAAUUAAGGUGAAAAAAUGUCCUAGGUGCUAUUCAUCUUAACAGUUUGCUUUUAUUCUACCUCUCUGCAUUAAGUGGAGUCUGUUACACCAAGUAUUGUGAAUUGCAGAUAUUUUUGCAAUACCUCCUCUCUCUUGAGAUCUAAGGCCACAUGUGUAGGUCAAGGAGAUACAUGGUGAAAAUCACCAUGAUUCCACUGAAAAGAUAAUUCAUAAAAACUUCAAUUUGAUAGUGUGGUGAGGCCCAAACUGUUUGGUCAAAGUAGCUUUGAUUCUGUUGCUUACAUUUGUUUCUUUGUUUUUGUUGGUUGGUUGUGCUGGCUUAUCUUCAGCACUACUUAUGGUCUGCAUUGGUAUAAUAAAUACUUCAUAAUCUUUAACACCUUUUUUUUUUUCUUGAGAUACUUCUUAUUGCAUUAAUACACUGGGUCAGGGAAGAAAACUGUAUUCAGCAAACAAGCGACAGAAGAGAACUGCAGUGUUCCUGUGUGGUAGCACUCCACCUUGGGCAGUCUUUCCAGCCCAGCUCUCUAGGAAGAUGUCUCUUUGUUUAUUAGUUUACUACUUUCAUAGCUCUACUACUUCUAUUUACUUCUGUGAAGAGCAGUGCAUGUAAUGUAUAAAAAAUAUAUAUUGGAUAUUAAAAAUAUAUCUAGUAUAUAUUAUAUAUAAAAUAAUAUAUUAAAAUAUGCAGUGUUCUAAUUUCUGAUCUAGCAGUUGACAUGUUAGUAUUGUAUUUCAGGAACCAAAUAUUAACAUAGCUCCAGGUUUGAGUUGUUCUGCCUUCUCAGAGGCCUCAGAGCCUUCUUGCUGAAUACACUGUACUAUAGUUUGAUUUUAGUAAGCCUUGAACAUGCAUCUGAACCAGUGUAAGCUAUGCAAUAGUUGUACUUUCACGGAUUGUUAGCUAGAUUGAUUUUCCUACUUCUAAUUAAUUGUGUAGGAAUUCCACAUUCAAAAUGGUUCAUGUGUGCUUUAAGAAUAAAUAACUUUGCAGACUUGAGAUGCUGUGAGCAGAGCAGUGUAUGCAGCAGGUGUCAGUUGCUAUCAAGGCUGGAUCUCAGAGAAGACAUAUUAGAAUCAGUACGUGCAUAUAGACAUGAAACAGAAAAAAACCCAAAACACUGAGGGAGCAGAAGGAGGCUUGGUGAGUUUGGAAGCCCUUCAAAAUUGCUGGCUCUGUUUUUUGAUGGCUGUCAAAUUUUGUUUAUUUUGGUGGUACAAUUUUGAGUCCUGUAAAACCGCAAGAGAGCAGCUAAUUUCCUUCUGUGCCAUCAGGAGUCUCUACUUUGAAGGUGGUAACAUACCUGUUAUGAUCAAGAGUCAUAUCUAAUGAGUGCAGCCCAAGCAUUAAAAUACUGUGAUCCUGCAGCAACACCUGAUAAAGCUGUGAAGGAAGGUGCUAAAUCAUGACAUAUGGCUCAGCAUACAAAUUAUGUGCUAUUUUCUUUGCUAGAGGAGUUUGAAGUUAACAUUAUACUUUAUUGGAAUUUUGCUUUUCUAGAUACUUAACUUUAAAACUGAGAAGUGCUGCUGAGUGGUACAGUUGUGAUGCUAAACUUCAUUGUGUGAUAGGAAUUGUAAUGCAUAGGGAAUAGCUGGUCAACAGGACACUAAACUGAAAACUAGUUUUUGAAAUGUGCCAUAAGAACUGAUCUUUUUUUCUUUUUUUUUUUUAAAUACGGGAAAAGUACAUACCUUUUUUUUUAAAAAAAAAAAGGCUUCAUUCUGAACAUUUCUCUGAUCUGCUUCUAAUGUUCAACCUGUGUAGGUUGAAAUACCUGUGUAUUGAGAAAAACUGUGGUACUAAGUGUGCGAUCAGCAAUGCAAAAAGAACGCCUAUGUUUCACAGGUCCUGAAACCUCUCUUCCAACUGAUGCAGUGGUACAAUUACUGAAGUUUAUUUCCUGUAACAAGCAACAACCCAGAUAUUACUGAAGAACUCUUCCAGCUUCUUUGUGGUUCUGUGAAGCGUUGAGUUGCUUUCACAGGAGACAGUGAAAGAUGGGAACAUUCAGAAGAAUUGUUCAGUAUUUUUCCAUAGAAUUUAGAUAUUGUUGCUCAAGGCAAAUGCUAAGAAUCUGGGAGGUGUUUGUUCCAGUGUUGAGAGGACAGGUAUAAAAUAAGUGACUCGGUGCGCUUCAAAAUACAGGGAAUACCUCGGAAAGCAGCUGCAGUCAGAACAACCUCAAACGGCC